CACACACCAGUGAUGGCGCAGUUACACACUGAGUUUAAAACCCUCCUUUUCCUUUCCCCAUCUACUCUCCUACUGAACUCACUGAAACUUACUCACUCACUGAACCCGAAGCCGGACGUUUAAGGCAUUUAACAGCAGGAAUAAAGACUUUUAUUUGUUUAUUUUUUGGGGGACAAAUCCACAAACAGGACAUCUUGUGUCCAAACGCCGGUUUCCAGUCCCACCACCUCCCCGUGUCCUCCCUACUAUUCAACAACUCCUACCCAAGAGUCUAGCGGAGUGACUUAAGUGGAGUGACUGUGUGCAAAGCAGAAGCCGUUCAGAACUCCAGUACAAGUUCUCAGACGUUCCUCCAACUGUGGACAAUUCCACAAUCACUCUUCAUGUGAUUUUAGUUGAAGACGUGGACAUCUGCAAGGAAAAUUGAUCCAGUUUGUUCAGUUUACAGAAACUCUGUUGUUCUUGAUCUGUGUCUCUGGGGUAUAAAUAUGAAGUUGCACACAUGUAAAAUCCCUUUCAACACAAAAGACCGAAGGUUAUUGAUUCUAAAAAAUACCAUUGUAGAACCCAGUGUGUGUGUGUGUGUGUGUGUGUGUGUGUGUGUGUGGGAAGGAGGACUUUUGACAGAGCUUCAUGCUUCCUUGCUUUUUCUUUCUCUUUCUUUCACCCACAAGCACUUUUCAGCUUGUGCUGUUCACAUAUGUUACACAAAAUACAACCAAAACCAAAAACGCAAAGCCUCUCACUGCCUUCCAGUUUUGGGCAAUUCAAAUUCAAGGCAAGCCUGUUGUGUUUUCCCCCCUAUGAAAAGACAAACAAAACACACCGCAAGAAAAAUCACACGUUCAACUCGCCUAAUCUCCGUCCACAGCUGAGUCUCAACCACACCCCUGCUGCCCCACCUGUGAACACAAUCAGUGCUUGAUUAGUGUCACCUAGUAAAUAGUGAAAAAAUAGUGAUCUAGUCAUCAUCCUCUUACCCAGUAAUGCAUUUGCUUCUGUUCCCACGUCAACCUUCAUGAUAAUUAGUCAAGAAUUGUACUGGGUUUUGUUCCAGCAUAUUAAGUAAUCAUCUUUUCUGGAUUUCAACCUUGUCUUGACCGUUUAUUGAUGAAUUACUGAUGAAUUCCUGUGUAAAAUUGUAAGUGCAUUGUAAGUUAGCUUGUCCAACAGUGGUAUUGUG
ensembl:lncRNA